rnacentral:tRNA from 3 species
CGGGGUGUGGCUCAGCUUGGUAGAGCGCGUCGUUCGGGACGACGAGGUCGCAGGUUCGAAUCCUGUCACCCCGA